GUUCGUUCUUUAACAUUUGUGUAACUAAAUCUUGUUUGAUAGAAACAUGUUGUGGUAUAUGACGCUAUGGUUUUCAUUAAUAAUUUCUGCGAACUGCCGCACACAUGCAGUGAGUGGCGUAGGCAGAAAAACAAACAAUCAGCAUAUUGUUUCUGUGCAGACCAUGGCCCCCGAAACAAAACAUUUAGAAAUACCACUUACAGAGCCCUUACCACCAAACUGCAGUCAUGUUGGUACGGAAAUAGAGGCAACAGACUGGGCUACAUCAUCUAUACUAAUUGUAAAAGCAUACACGUUGACAUAUGGAACUGUCGAGCGUUACUUUUCAAGUAAGGAUGGCUCAUGUGUUGUAAAAACUAAAGUGUUUUGCGCCUAACCGAUACGAACAAAUUAUAACGCUGUGAUUCAAAAAAUACUUGAAGAAAUGUGAAAUAAAAAAAUAUAUAUAA